rnacentral:rRNA from 1 species
UGGGGAAUAUUGGACAAUGGNCNUNAACCCUGAUCCAGCGAUGCCGCGUGUGUGAAGAAGGCCUUCGGGUUGUAAAGCACUUUAGGUUGGGACGAAGGGUGUUGGGUGAAUAGCCUAGCAUUUUGACGGUACCGACAGAAUAAGCACCGGCUAACUCUGUGCCAGCAGCCGCGGUAAUACAGAGGGUGCGAGCGUUAAUCGGAGUUACUGGGCGUAAAGGGCGCGUAGGCGGUGAUACAAGUGAGAUGUGAAAUCCCUGGGCUUAACCUAGGAAUUGCAUUUCAAACUGUGUUGCUAGAGUGCAGUAGAGGGUGGUGGAAUUUCCGGUGUAGCGGUGAAAUGCGUAGAGAUCGGAAGGAACAUCAGUGGCGAAGGCGGCCACCUGGACUGUAACUGACGCUGAGGCGCGAGAGCGUGGGGAGCAAACAGGAUUAGAUACCCUGGUAGUCCACGCUGUAAACGAUGAGAACUAGAUGUUGGUCUGCGCGAGCGGAUGAGUAUCGAAGCUAACGCGAUAAGUUCUCCGCCUGGGGAGUACGGCCGCAAGGUUA